UACGGAGGGUGCAAGCGUUAAUCGGAAUUACUGGGCGUAAAGCGCACGCAGGCGGUUGAUUGAGUCAGAUGUGAAAUCCCCGGGCUUAACCCGGGAAUUGCAUCUGAUACUGGUCAGCUAGAGUCUUGUAGAGGGGGGUGGAAUUCCAUGUGUAGCGGUGAAAUGCGUAGAGAUGUGGAGGAAUACCGGUGGCGAAGGCGGCCCCCUGGACAAAGACUGACGCUCAGGUGCGAAAGCGUGGGGAGCAAACAGG
rnacentral:rRNA from 1 species